UGCAGUCGAGCGGAUGACGGAGGUUGCUCCUGGAUUCAGCGGGGGACGGGUGAGUAAUGCCUAUGAAUCUGCCUGGUAGUGGGGGAUAACGUCCGGAAACGGGCGCUAAUACCGCAUACGUCCUGAGGGAGAAAGUGGGGGAUCUUCGGACCUCUCGCUAUCAGAUGAUGCUAGGUCGGAUUAUCUAUUUGGGGGGGUAAAGGCCUACCCAGGCGACAAUCCGUAACUGUGCUGAGAGGAUGAUCACUCACACUGUAACUGAGACACGGUCCACACUCCUACGGGAGGCAGCAGUGGGGAAUAUUGUACAAUGGGCGAAAGCCUGAUCCACCCAUGCCGCGUGUGUGAAAAAAGUCUUCGGAUUGUAAAGCACUUUUUUUUGGGAGGAAGGGCCCUUGGUUAAUACCUUGCUGUUUUGACGUUACCACCAAAAUAAACACCGGCUAUCUUCGUGCCACCACCCGCGGUAAUACAAAGGGUGCGAGCGUUAAUCGGAAUUACUGUGCGUAAAGCGCGCGUACGUGGUUCAUCAAGUUGGAUGUGAAAUCUCCGCGCUCUCCCUGUGAACUGUGUCCUGAACUACUGAGCUAUAGUACGGGAGAGGGUGGUGGAAUUUCCUGUGUAGCGGAGAGAUGCGUAUAUAUAUGAAGAAACAUCAGUGUCGAAAGCGACCACCUGUGCUGAUACUGACACUGACGUG
rnacentral:rRNA from 1 species